CUUAGCACAAAGCAGCUCGGCUCGACCUUGUUUCAACUAAUCCCUUCUCUGUAUUUAACAAGAGGAACUGGAAGAGUCAGACAGUGUGUGGGAAGACUGAAGAAAAUAAGGAAGGGCAGGUCUCGAUGGCAGAAAGAUGGACACUUCUCAGGUCUAGUUGUUGCAUGGUGUGUUCCUGACCACAGCUGUACCCAAGGAGUCUCACAGAUUCCUCAGGAGGCAACAGGACGUUUAUCAACGAAGAUGUGAGAAACCCAUGCCGGGCCUUUGACGCUCAUCCUGACUCCUGACUGAUGAAUUAUUUGGUCGACUGAGGCAGAAUCACCUUUACUGGAGCAUAAUCUGUUGGAGGCAGCAUCUCCUGAAGUCUCCAUGAGUUGCUGGAAUGAAGAAAUGUGUCAUAUGUGAACCAAAACACAUGUAAAAAUUGUUGACAAUAGCACCAUUUGUAAAAGACUAAAACUGGAAACCACCAAAUGAUCAGCAACAGAGAAUAAAAAAUUAUGGCUUAUUUCUACAAUGGAUUGCUAUGCUGCAGUAAGAAUGAAUGAACAGCAGCUACACACAACCGGUAUGGAUGAAUCUCAUGAACACAAUGUGAAGGGAAAGAAGGCAGAAACAUACUUAUCACACCCUCCAUUUAUAUAAAACUCAGAGACAAAACAAAUUUAUGGUGUUAGGAGUCAGGUUCCUUUGGGGAAGAGAGAGGGAGUAGUACCUGAAUGGAGGGGGCAUGGAGGGGGCUUCGGGCAUGCUGGUAAGAUUUUUGUUUUGUUUUUAAUCUGAGUGAUAUAGGUGGUAGUUACUUUUUGAUGUUACAUCGAGCUGUACACUUAUGAUCUGUUCA
rnacentral:lncRNA from 1 species